rnacentral:rRNA from 1 species
AAGCCUGAUCCAGCCAUACCGCGUGGGUGAAGAAGGCCUUCGGGUUGUAAAGCCCUUUUGUUGGGAAAGAAAUCCAGCCGGCUAAUACCUGGUUGGGAUGACGGUACCCAAAGAAUAAGCACCGGCUAACUUCGUGCCAGCAGCCGCGGUAAUACGAAGGGUGCAAGCGUUACUCGGAAUUACUGGGCGUAAAGCGUGCGUAGGUGGUCGUUUAAGUCCGUUGUGAAAGCCCUGGGCUCAACCUGGGAACUGCAGUGGAUACUGGACGACUAGAGUGUGGUAGAGGGUAGCGGAAUUCCUGGUGUAGCAGUGAAAUGCGUAGAGAUCAGGAGGAACAUCCAUGGCGAAGGCAGCUACCUGGACCAACACUGACACUGAGGCACG